AUACGGAGGAUGCGAGCGUUAUCCGGAUUCAUUGGGUUUAAAGGGUGCGCAGGUGGGCUUGUAAGUCAGUGGUGAAAUGCUGCCGCUUAACGGUAGAAUUGCCAUUGAUACUGUGAGUCUUGAGUAUGGUUGAGGUAGGCGGAAUGUGCAGUGUAGCGGUGAAAUGCAUAGAUAUUGCACAGAACUCCGAUUGCGAAGGCAGCUUACUAAGCCAUUACUGACGCUGAGGCACGAAAGCGUGGGGAGC
rnacentral:rRNA from 1 species